AAAUAGAAGCAUUAAAAGUGUUUUGUUUAAAUCUUUUUUGCCCUCCUUUAUUUCAGGCUCACCCGAGCGUUGGUUUAGGCACACCUCUACCAACUAUGGUUACAACAAUGACAUCAAGUACGGCUUAAAUGUUCUCGACUACAAAUGUUAAGGCGGAGCCUGGAGUUGUGGGAGGGGUUAACCGGCCUACUUAAACUCUGACCUACCCCUAGUCAUUACUGAUACCGACCAGACUCCCC